AAGCUCAAAUUUGAAAUCUGACAGCUUUGUUGUCCGAGUUGUAGUCUGGAGAAGUGUUUUCUGUAUUGGACCGUGUACAAGUCUCUUGGAAUAGGGCAUCAUAGAGGGUGAGAAUCCCGUCUUUGACACGGACUGCUGAUACUUUGAGAUGCGCUCUCAAUGAGUCGAGUUGUUUGGGAAUGCAGCUCAAAAUGGGUGGUAAAUUCCAUCUAAAGCUAAAUAUUGGCAAGAGACCGAUAGUGAACAAGUACCGUGAGGGAAAGAUGAAAAGCACUUUGGAAAGAGAGUUAAACAGUACGUGAAAUUGCUGAAAGGGAAACGCUUGAAGUCAGUCACAUUGAUCAGAACUCAGCUUGGCUUUUGCUUGGUGCAUUUUCUGGUCAAUGGGCCAACAUCAAUUUUAACUGCUGGAUAAAGGCUUAGGGAAUGUGGCACCUUUGGGUGUGUUAUAGCUCUUGGUCACAUACAGUGGUUGAGAUUGAGGAUCUCAGCAUGCCUUAUGGCCGAGGUUUACCUACGUUCAUGCUUAGGAUGUUGGCAUAAUGGCUUUAAACGACCCGUCUUGAAACACGGACCAAGGAGUCUAACAUGCCUGCGAGUGUUUGAGUGGAAAACUCGAGUGCGUAAUGAAAGUGAAAGUUGGGAUCCUUGUCGUGAGGAGCACCGACACCCGGACCAGACCUUUUGUGACGGAUCCGCGGUAGAGCAUGUAUGUUGGGACCCGAAAGAUGGUGAACUAUGCCCUGAAUAGGGUGAAGCCAGAGGAAACUCUGGANCUCACUCGUAGCGAUUCUGACGUGCA
rnacentral:rRNA from 1 species